AAAUUGAAGAGUUUGAUCAUGGCUCAGAUUGAACGCUGGCGGCAGGCCUAACACAUGCAAGUCGAACGGUAACAGGAAGCAGCUUGCUGCUUCGCUGACGAGUGGCGGACGGGUGAGUAAUGUCUGGGAAACUGCCUGAUGGAGGGGGAUAACUACUGGAAACGGUGGCUAAUACCGCAUAACGUCGCAAGACCAAAGAGGGGGACCUUCGGGCCUCUUGCCAUCAGAUGUGCCCAGAUGGGAUUAGCUGGUUGGUGAGGUAACGGCUCACCAAGGCGACGAUCCCUAGCUGGUCUGAGAGGAUGACCAGCCACACUGGAACUGAGACACGGUCCAGACUCCUACGGGAGGCAGCAGUGGGGAAUAUUGCACAAUGGGCGCAAGCCUGAUGCAGCCAUGCCGCGUGUAUGAAGAAGGCCUUCGGGUUGUAAAGUACUUUCAGCGGGGAGGAAGGUGUUGUGGUUAAUAACUGCAGCAAUUGACGUUACCCGCAGAAGAAGCACCGGCUAACUCCGU
rnacentral:rRNA from 2 species